GUAAAUUCCAGCAAAAUUAUAUUAAAAGAAUAAUGCAUUCUUGUGUACACAUGAAAGUUAGGUUGAAAAAGAAAAGCAUACCUUGAAGAUGUAUUUAAAAUAGUCCACAACGACUUUUUAAAUGUCAGUAAUGUGGAGAAGGGAACUUAACUUGUUUCAUGUGCUUGGUAGAGAACCAUCAGAAUCAUGGUUUUGAAUGAUGAGAUAUUGGAGCACAAUAAAUAACACCUUUCCAAGAUUCUAUAGGUGGGAUAAAAAGUUUGCAUUGGGUAAAAACGUGGAGUUGUGAAGUUAAUGAAGUAACUAGAGUGAAAUUCAGGGUGGAAAGCAGUUAGUAGUUGCAAAACACUGGAAUUCAUGUGAUUGUUUCUCUGUAUUCUCAUUAAGGUCUGCAACAAGUCAAGAAUGUCAGCUACCACUUCAGUUCUACAACAGUAUUCUCUGGGGCUUAGCAAAUGAGAUACAGAUAUUGGGAAUGGAAGCAACAGAACAUUAUUUACAAGAUAUAAGAUUAUCUAGAAAAUACUACCCAGGAGCUGAAAAGCAUGAACUGCUAAGAGUGUUCAGUGAGAUGAAGGGAUUCAAGUGAACUAAAGACAGGAAGAGAGGUGGUGUUGACUCAGGAGCAUGCUGAUUUGACUUGGGCGAAGACCUUUGUUAGUGGCAGUCAAGUGAUCCUGCAGGCAGGAGCAGAUGUGACAUCUCCAUGGAGUUUUCUCCAUGCCUCAGACUUAACAGGGAGGGGCCGUACUGCUGCUAGUGACUUCCUUGUAAGGUCAGUUCUUGCUGAAUCAGAGAAAAUGAGUAUUGUCCUGAGCCAUUGUACCUUUUUUUUGUUCUUUUUAAGAUUUGUUUAUUUUAAAGCAUGUGAGUACAGGGGGAGGGGCAGAGGGAAAAAGAGAAUCUGAAGUAGACUUCGUGUUGAGCUUGGAGCCCGGUGCAGGCCUUGAUGUGGACCUCAACCUCAUGACCCUAAGAUCAUGACCUGAGCCAAAACCAAGUCAGAGGCUUAACCAACUGAGCCACUCAGGUGCUCCCUGGGCCAGUGUACUUUUAUACUCUGGGAUUGUGUCACCGUUGAGGAAGAACUUAGACAAAUACUUAAUGCUUUCAUUUAAGAGAAUGUUCACAAAUACUGGGCUUCAGGGAAAUAACAUUGCAUUCUGGGGGUUAGAGCACUGCUGUUGAACAGUAUGUCUGACUAAAGCUUUUAACAACAGGGGAAGUCCAUCUUGCAAAUGUGUAUGGGCUAAAUUUAUAUACAAGAAAUAAUAUAAUACCCAAUACACGUUUGUAAAGUGCUGAGCCUAUCGAGUAAUAAGAAACGUGUAAACAA